AACGUAGGGAACAAGCGUUAUCCGGAUUUACUGGGCGUAAAGCGCGCGCAGGCGGCAUGGAAAGUUGGACGUGAAAACUCCUGGCUUAACUGGGAGAGGUCGUACAAAACUACCAAGCUAGAGGUUGGAAGAGGAGAGUGGAAUUCCCGGUGUAGUGGUGGAAUGCGUAGAUAUCGGGAGGAACACCAGUGGUGAAAACGGCUCUCUGGUCCAAUACUGACGCUGAGGUGCGAAAGCGUGGGGAGCGAACGGG
rnacentral:rRNA from 1 species